CUGAGUCGUCGACACGAGUUGUUGCUGGUCCUCAAACAAGGGGGCAUGUGCACGCUCUGUUAACACAUCCACUCACACCUGUGCACCCUCUGUAGUUCUAUGGUCUGGGAGGGACAAUUUGUCCUUCCUCUGUAGCUCUACGUCUUUACACACACACUGUAGCAAAGUCUCAUGGAAUGUGCAUCGCGUUUAACGCAAUACAAUA
rnacentral:misc_RNA from 2 species